rnacentral:rRNA from 1 species
UACGAAGGGGGCUAGCGUUGCUCGGAAUCACUGGGCGUAAAGCGCACGUAGGCGGGUCUUUAAGUCAGGGGUGAAAUCCUGGAGCUCAACUCCAGAACUGCCUUUGAUACUGAGGAUCUCGAGUCCGGGAGAGGUGAGUGGAACUCCGAGUGUAGAGGUGAAAUUCGUAGAUAUUCGGAAGAACACCAGUGGCGAAGGCGGCUCACUGGCCCGGUACUGACGCUGAGGUGCGAAAGCGUGGGGAGCAAACAGG